rnacentral:rRNA from 1 species
GAUGAACGCUGGCGGCGUGCCUAAUACAUGCAAGUCGAGCGAACAGACGAGGAGCUUGCUCCUCUGACGUUAGCGGCGGACGGGUGAGUAACACGUGGAUAACCUACCUAUAAGACUGGGAUAACUUCGGGAAACCGGGGCUAAUACCGGAAAAUAUAUUGAACCGCAUGGUUCAAUAGUGAAAGACGGUUUUGCUGUCACUUAUAGAUGGAUCCGCGCCGCAUUAGCUAGUUGGUAAGGUAACGGCUUACCAAGGCGACGAUGCGUAGCCGACCUGAGAGGGUGAUCGGCCACACUGGAACUGAGACACGGUCCAGACUCCUACGGGAGGCAGCAGUAGGGAAUCUUCCGCAAUGGGCGAAAGCCUGACGGAGCAACGCCGCGUGAGUGAUGAAGGUCUUCGGAUCGUAAAACUCUGUUAUUAGGGAAGAACAAAUGUGUAAGUAACUAUGCACGUCUUGACGGUACCUAAUCAGAAAGCCACGGCUAACUACGUG